UGCUCCUGACCUGGGAAGAAUGGCAUCAGUCAAGUUGGUGGUGAUCAUCUCAUCAGGCAGGGGCAAAACAAUCCCUUGUUGAACCCAGCUUGACUUUUGGUUCAUGUCCAUUUCCCAUUUCAUACCUUGGACACAUGG
ensembl:snoRNA